UNCUAGGAACAUGACUGCUUUGUAAAGGGC
rnacentral:piRNA from 1 species